AUUGGUUUGGACGCUUUGGGCUUCUCCUUUUAGUCCUGAGAUGUAGCCUUCCUUUCAGUGUCUAGCUGGUCGGGCAUAGUGCACUUAGUGGCAUAUUCCAUCGCCACACACCGUCUACUCUUAGUUUAUAGCACUUUCUUCCCCUCUUUAUUAGAAAUUGCAUUUAGAAUUUUUAGUGAUAAGUUUAGAAUCUUUCAUGUUAAGGAUAGCUCUUUCUUUUCCUCCUUUGAAAAAACAAAAAAGACCAAAAAAAUAUUUACACUGUAGAAACUGUAAUGUUAAGGUUAGGACUCUGUAAGUUAAGGAUUUCUGAAUCUUUCUGCACAACUCUUUCUUUUCCUUCUUUCAAAAAAAAAAAAAAAGACCAAAAAAAACUCUACCUUGUAGAAACAGUAGUGGUAAGGUUAGGACUCUGUAAGUUAAAGAUUUCUGAAUCUUUCUGCACAGCUCUUUCUUUUCCUCCUUUCAAAAAAACAAAAAACAAAAAAAGACCAAAAAUAAACUUUACCUUGUAGAAACAGUAGUGGUAAGGUUAGGACUCUGUAAGUUAAGGAUUUCUAAAUCUUUCUGUGCAGCUCUUUCUUUUCCUCCUUUUAAAACAAACAGCUUGAAAGUUUGAAAACAGAUGGAAAGAGCUUGAAGAGGGUCUUCAGAAAUGUUCCAUUCAAAUCCAUUUAAAGCUGUGUUUAGUUUGAUUAUAUUGACUGAAACACAGAAGGAGAAAUUCUUCCAUAAUCCUCAUUUCUAAUAUUAAUUUUACUGUUUCCAUCUCCGUUUAAGAUGUGAUGAGAAAUUAAAUUUAAAAAAAGGAAUUCAUAGACCACUUUGUAUCAUUACUGUUAUGUUUGCAUGGAACAUUUCAAAAGGGUCAGGGUUCUUCUGCUGCUCCACUGAACAUCUAACACAUGAUGGAUUGAUUGCUUGUUCCAUGUGUGUGGCUACACCUGUAGCACAUGUAGGAAUGGUUGUGUUUUUAGUUUCCGGACCCAGCACAGCUCUAGAAAAUUUGAAGUUGUUCACUAAAAUAUCUGUUUGAUGCAAACAGUCAUUUCCCCUGUUUAUGAGCCAUUUAUUUGUAAAACGUUCUUGCAAAACUUGUGCAAAAAAAAUCUGCAAAUGUUUGAGGUUCAGUGCAGCAGCAGAGACAGGGUAGGGUGGACCCUCUUCAAGCCCUUUACAUCUGUGGAGAUUGUAAAAGCAGGAUAGACUUUAGGAGGGUCUUCAGGAAAUGCUCCAUCCAAAUAAUUUUCAUUGUUAGUAUCGUAUUUCUUCAAAUGACAUUUACAAUAUCUGAUUGGUUUUUAACAUGUAAACAAUGAGUCAUAUUUUUAUGGAGCAUUUCCAAAGGGUCGAGGUUAGGGAGGGUCAGACCCUCCUAAAGUCUUUAUCCUCUUUUACAAAAGUUUCUGUUUGAUGACAUUAUUGUUUAUAAUAAGUGUUUUCUUUAGUUGAUUGUAAUUUUUGUCGCAAAAUCUUCAAAGAAAAAACGUAUAAAUACUUUAGACAAAAACAAACAAAAAACGACAAAUGUUUCAGAUGUUGCUCAGAAAUGAUAGUUUUAAAAUUAUUUUUUCUGUGCCUUUUUCACAAUUUCACUCAUGAACAUAUUUAGAUAACAGGAGUAUAAAGGCAGGAGAUGACUUUAGGAGGGUCUACAGGAAAUGCUCCAUCCAAAUUACUUUUUCAUUGUUAUUGUUGUAAUUCUUGAAAUUCCAUUUUCAACAACUAAUCUAUUUUUAAGACGUAAACAAUGAGAGUCAUAUUAGGAUGGAGCAUUUCCAAAGGGUUGAGGUUAGGGAGGGUCAGACCCUCCUAAAGUCUUUAUCCUCUGUUACAAGUGUUUCUGUUUGACAUUAUUGUUCAUAAUAAGUGUUUUCUUUAGUUAAUUGUAAUUUUUGGUGUAAAAUCUUCAAACAAAAAUUGUUUUAAUAUACUUCAGACAAAAACAAACAAAAAAUAAUGAGAAAUGUUUCAGAUGUUGCUCAGAAAUGAUAGUUUUGAAAUGAUUUUUUCUGUGUGUCUCUCACAGUUUAAGAAAAGAACAUAUUUAGAUAACAGGAGUAUAAAAGCAGGAGAUGACUUUAGGAGGGUCUUCAGGAAAUGCUCCAUCCAAAUUACUUUUUCAUUGUUAUUGUUGUAAUUCUUGAAAUUACAUUUUCAACAACUAAUCUAUUUUUAAGACGUAAACAAUGAGAGUCAUAUUAGGAUGGAGCAUUUCCAAAGGGUUGAGGUUAGGGAGGGUCAGACCCUCCUAAAGUCUUUAUCCUCUGUUACAAAUGUUUCUGUUUGAUGACAUUAUUGUUCAUAAUAAGUCUUUUCUUUAGUUGAUUGUAAUUUUUGGUGUAAAAUCUUCAAAGAAAAAACGUAUAAAUACUUCAGACAAAAAAAACGACAAAUGUUUCAGAUGUUGCUCAGAAAUGACUAACAAACAUAUUUAGAUAUGUAUGUAUGUAAAUAUGUUAGCUAACUAACAUAUUUAGAUAACAGGAGUAUAAAAGCAGGAGAUGACUUUAGGAGGGUCUUCAGGAAAUGCUCCAUCUGAAUCACUUUUUCAUUGUUAUUAUUGUAAUUCUUGAAAUUACAUUUUCAACAACUAAUCUAUUUUUAACAUGUGAACAAUGAGAGUCAUAUUAGGAUGGAGCAUUUCCAAAGGGUCGAGGUUAGGGAGGGUCAGACCCUCCUAAAGUCUUUAUCCUCUUUUACAAAAGUUUCUGUUUGAUGACAUUAUUGUUCAAAAUAAGUCUUUUCUUUAGUUGAUUGUAAAUUUUGGCGUAAAAUCUUUAUAGAAAAAUUGUAUAAACAUACUUCAGACAAAAACAAACAAAAAAAACAAUGACAUGUUUCAGAUGUUGCUCAGAAGUGAUAGUUUUAGAAUGAUUUUUUUCUGUGUCUCGCUCACAAUUUCACUAUCAUAUUUAGAUAACAGGAGUAUAAAAGCAGGAGAUGACUUUAGGAGGGUCUACAGGAAAUGCUCCAUCCAAAUAAUUUAUCAUUGUUAGUAUCGUAUUUCUUCAAAUGACAUUUACAAUAUCUGAUUGGUUUUUAACAUGUAAACAAUGAGUCAUAUUUUUAUGGAGCAUUUCCAAAGGGUCGAGGUUAGGGAGGGUCAGACCCUCCUAAAGUCUUUAUCCUCUUUUACAAAUGUUUCUGUUUGAUGACAUUAUUGUUCAUAAUAAGUCUUUUCUUUAGUUGAUUGUAAUUUUUGUCGCAAAAUCUUCAAAGAAAAAACGUAUAAAUACUUUAGACAAAUACAAACAAAAAACGACAAAUGUUUCAGAUGUUGCUCAGAAACGAUAGUUUUAAAAUGAUUUUUUUCUGUGCCUCUUUCACAAUUUAACUAACAUAUUUAGAUAACAGGAGUAUAAAAGCAGGAGAUGACUUUAGGAGGGUCUACAGGAAAUGCUCCAUCCGAAUCACUUUUUCAUUGUUAUUGUUGUAAUACUUGAAAUUACAUUUUCAACAACUAAUCUAUUUUUAACAUGUGAACAAUGAGAGUCAUAUUAGGAUGGAGCAUUUCCAAAGGGUCGAGGUUAGAGAGGGUCAGACCCUCCUAAAGUCUUUAUCCUCUUUUACAAAUGUUUCUGUUUGAUGACAUUAUUGUUCAUAAUAAGUCUUUUCUUUCGUUAAUUGUAAAUUUUGGCGUAAAAUCUUUAAAGAAAAAUUGUAUAAACAUACUUCAGACAAAAACAAACAAAAAAAACAAUGACAUGUUUCAGAUGUUGCUCAGAAAUGAUAGUUUUAGAAUGAUUUUUUUCUGUGUCUCUCUCACAAUUUCACUAUCAUAUUUAGAUAACAGGAGUAUAAAAGCAGAAGAUGACUUUAGGAGGGUCUUCAGGAAAUGCUUCAUCCAAAUUACUUUUUCAUUGUUAUUGUUGUAAUUAAUCUAUUUUUAACACGUAAACAAUGAGAGUCAUAUUUUUAUGGAGCAUUUCCAAAGGGUCGAGGUUAGGGAGGGUCAGACCCUCCUAUAGUCUUUAUCCUCUGAUACUCAUGUUAUCAUUACACAUCAUCACUAUUAAUGAUGACUUUUCCUUCUGUUGUUUUAAUAACUUCAAGGAAAAUUCAUCCAGAUCCUAGAAAAUAGAGCAAAGUUUAAAAUGUUCCUCAGUAAUUGUAACAAAUUUUUCUGUGACUAUUCAGCAAAGUAAUUAAAGUACAUAUCUGAGGAGAUUGUAAAAGCAGGAUAGACUUUAGGAGGGUCUUCAGGAAAUGCUCCAUCCAAAUUACUUUUUCAUUGUUGUUGUAAUUCUUGAAGUUACAUUUUAAAAAACUAAUCUAUUUUUAACACGUAAACAAUGAGAGUCAUAUUAGGAUGGAGCAUUUCCAAAGGGUCGAGGUUAGGGAGGGUCAGACCCUCCUAAAGUCUUUAUCCUCUGUUACAAAUGUUUCUGUUUGAUGACAUUAUUGUUCAUAAUAAGUCUUUUCUUUAGUUGAUUGUAAAUUUUGGCGUAAAAUCUUCAAAGAAAAAUUGUAUAAACAUACUUCAGACAAAAACAAACAAAAAAAACAAUGACAUGUUUCAGAUGUUGCUCAGAAAUAAUAGUUUUAGAAUGAUUUUUUUCUGUGUCUCGCUCACAAUUUCACUAUCAUAUUUAGAUAACAGGAGUAUAAAAGCAGGAGAUGACUUUAGGAGGGUCUUCAGGAAAUGCUCCAUCCAAAUAAUUUUUCAUUGUUAGUAUCGUAUUUCUUCAAAUGACAUUUACAAUAUCUGAUUGGUUUUUAACAUGUAAACAAUGAGUCAUAUUUUUAUGGAGCAUUUCCAAAGGGUCGAGGUUAGGGAGGGUCAGACCCUCCUAAAGUCUUUAUCCUCUUUUACAAAUGUUUCUGUUUGAUGACAUUAUUGUUCAUAAUAAGUCUUUUCUUUAGUUGAUUGUAAUUUUUGUCGCAAAAUCUUCAAAGAAAAAACGUAUAAAUACUUUAGACAAAAACAAACAAAAAACGACAAAUGUUUCAGAUGUUGCUCAGAAACGAUAGUUUUAAAAUGAUUUUUUUCUGUGCCUCUUUCACAAUUUAACUAACAUAUUUAGAUAACAGGAGUAUAAAAGCAGGAGAUGACUUUAGGAGGGUCUUCAGGAAAUGCUCCAUCCGAAUCACUUUUUCAUUGUUAUUAUUGUAAUACUUGAAAUUACAUUUUCAACAACUAAUCUAUUUUUAACAUGUGAACAAUGAGAGUCAUAUUAGGAUGGAGCAUUUCCAAAGGGUCGAGGUUAGAGAGGGUCAGACCCUCCUAAAGUCUUUAUCCUCUUUUACAAAUGUUUCUGUUUGAUGACAUUAUUGUUCAUGAUAAGUCUUUUCUUUCGUUAAUUGUAAAUUUUGGCGUAAAAUCUUUAAAGAAAAAUUGUAUAAACAUACUUCAGACAAAAACAACCAAAAAAAACAAUGACAUGUUUCAGAUGUUGCUCAGAAAUGAUAGUUUUAGAAUGAUUUUUUUCUGUGUCUCUCUCACAAUUUCACUAUCAUAUUUAGAUAACAGGAGUAUAAAAGCAGAAGAUGACUUUAGGAGGGUCUACAGGAAAUGCUCCAUCCAAAUUACUUUUUCAUUGUUAUUGUUGUAAUUCUUGAAAUUCCAUUUUCAACAACUAAUCUAUUUUUAACAUGUGAACAAUGAGAGUCAUAUUAGGAUGGAGCAUUUCCAAAGG